rnacentral:rRNA from 1 species
UACAGAGGGUGCAAGCGUUAUUCGGAUUCACUGGGCGUAAAGGGUGCGCAGGCGGCCAAGUGUGUUAGGCGUGAAAGCCCGGGGCUUAACCCCGGAAUUGCACCUAAAACUACAUGGCUAGAGCAUUGGAGAGGGUAGCGGAAUUCACGGUGUAGCAGUGAAAUGCGUAGAUAUCGUGAGGAACACCAGAGGCGAAGGCGGCUACCUGGACAAUUGCUGACGCUCAGGCACGAAAGCGUGGGGAGCAAACAGG